UUGGCAAUCUUGGGUUUUGGAAAGAAAUCUUGUUGGAGCCAUAUGAUUUUAGGAAAUAAUCAAUAGGAUUCAAGAAAUAUGGAAAGAAUCAAUUGGAAUCCAAGAUUAGGAAGGAAACAAUUUGAAACCGUGAAGAAAGGAAAGAAAAUUGUCGGACACAUGACACGUCUUUUUCUUUUACGUGAGUUUUUCCUAAUUUUAUAUUUUUUCCUAGUUUUAGUGUUUGACUUGUGUACUAUAAAUACGU
rnacentral:lncRNA from 1 species